rnacentral:rRNA from 1 species
UACGAAGGGGGCUAGCGUUGCUCGGAAUCACUGGGCGUAAAGAGCGUGUAGGCGGCCAGGUAGGUCUGCUGUGAAAACUCGAGGCUCAACCUCGAGACGUCGGCGGAAACCAUCUGGCUAGAGUCCGGAAGAGGAGAGUGGAAUUCCUGGUGUAGCGGUGAAAUGCGCAGAUAUCAGGAAGAACACCCGUGGCGAAGGCGGCUCUCUGGGACGGUACUGACGCUGAGACGCGAAAGCGUGGGGAGCGAACAGG